CGCGCAGGCGGAUUAGCAAGUCAGAGGUGAAAUCCUACAGCUUAACUGUAGAACUGCCUUUGAAACUGUUAAUCUUGAGUACGGAAGAGAGAAGCGGAAUUCCAGGUGUAGUGGUGAAAUACGUAGAUAUCUGGAAGAACACCAGUUGCGAAGGCGGCUUCUUGGUCCGGUACUGACGCUGAGGCGCGAAAGCGUGGGGAGCAAACA
rnacentral:rRNA from 1 species